rnacentral:rRNA from 1 species
AUGAACUUUUCAUAUACGGCUCUUAGAGGGGGACUCACCUAUCUCAAUAAAGUAUAUGAUUGGUUUGAGGAACGUCUUGAGACUCAGGAAAUUGCAGGUGAUACUAGUAAAUAUGUUACUCCCCAUGUCAACAUAUUUUAUUGUUUAGGGGGGAUUACACUUACUUGUUUUCUAGUACAAGUCGCUACCGGUUUUGCUAUGACUUUUUACUACCGACCAACUGUUACAGAGGCUUUUUCCUCGGUUCAAUACAUAAUGAUCGAGGCCAACUUUGGUUGGCUAAUCCGAUCAGUUCAUCGAUGGUCAGCAAGUAUGAUGGUUUUAAUGAUGAUCCUGCAUGUAUUUCAUGUGUAUCUCAUAGGGGGAUUUAAACAACCCCGUGAAUUAACUUGGGUCACACGUGUAGUUUUGGCUGUUUUGAUUGCAUCAUUUGGUGUAACUAGUUAUUUUUUGCCUUGGGAUCAAACUGGCUAUUGGGUAGUCAAAAUUGUGACAAGUGUACCAUACGCCAUUCCACUAAUAUGAUCGCCUUUAGUGGAGUUAUUACGCGGAAGUGCUAGUGUGGGUCAAUCCACUUUGACUCGUUUUUAUAGUUUACAGACCUUUGUACUGCCUCUAGUUACUGUCGUAUUUAUGUUAAUGCAUUUUCCAAUGAUACAUAAGCAAGGUAUUUCAGGUCCUCUAUAG